rnacentral:rRNA from 1 species
UACGGAGGGUGCAAGCGUUGUUCGGAAUUAUUGGGCGUAAAGCGCGCGCAGGCGGGUCUCUAAGUCUGAUGUGAAAUCCCUCGGCUCAACCGAGGACGUGCAUUGGAUACUGGAGACCUUGAGUCCUGGAGAGGGAAGCGGAAUUCCCAGUGUAGAGGUGAAAUUCGUAGAUAUUGGGAGGAACACCAGCGGCGAAGGCGGCUUCCUGGACAGUGACUGACGCUGAGGCGCGAAAGCGUGGGUAGCAAACAGG